rnacentral:misc_RNA from 1 species
AACCAUAGAAACCUGCGGAGUACCUGCGGAGGGAUCAUUACAGAGUUGCAAAACUCCCACAAACCAUCGCGAAUCUUACCCGUACGGUUGCCUCGGCGCUGGCGGUCCGGAAGGCCCUCGGGCCCCCGGACCCUCGGGUCCCCCGCUCGCGGGGGCUGCCCGCCGGAGUGCCGAAACCAAACUCUUGAUAUUUUAUGUCUCUCUGAGUAAACUUUUAAAUAAGUCAAAACUUUUAACAAC